GCCCUGUACAAAAACCUAAUGACUUACAACUUUCAGCGGUGGAUGUCUAGGUUCCCACAACGAUGAAGAACGCAGCGAAAUGCGAUACGUAAUGCGAAUUGCAAGACCUCGUGAAUCAUUAAGAUUUUGAACGCACAUUGCGCUUUCGGGAUUUUCCCGGUAGCAUGCUUGUCUGAGUGUCUGUGGAU
rnacentral:rRNA from 1 species